GUGCCGGGCCGGCGCGCCAGGCUGCGCUGACUGCCCGAGCCUGCGAGGGGAGGGAAGAACGCGGGGCCGGCGCCUCCGCUGGUGACGGGAAAACGUUACCCGGCUUCGGCUUCGGUCAGUCCGUCUACUCUAUGCUCUGCGGUCCGCCUCUGUCAGUCUGUCGGUCCGUCCGGGCGUCUGUUGAGGGGCACACGCCCCUGUCACUGCCCUCUGGGAGAUUUCUCCGAGAUCGUGUGAUCUUUUGCAAGCAGCAGGUGUCGGGGGCGCCGGUGUCCCCGGAGCGCGCCAGCAGUGUGUGUGGGGGGGGCUUGCUUUCGAAGAUAUCCCCCCUUCUCAGUGGCUGAGGGAAGGGGAGUCUUGCGCCCGGGACAGUGGCUGGCUGAUGAGGGACAGCCCUGAGGGUCAGGUCGCGGAGUCCAGCAGACGGGGAGGCGGCUCACACUGCGCGCUCGUGGGUGUGCGCCGGGCAACGGGUCUGCGCCCUGCUGCUCGGGCCUCGGCACGGUCUUCCUUCUGGUUUCCCUCCGCCUCCCGUUGCCCGCGGCUCAGGCACUCCGGGUAGCGCUGGGCUCCCAGGGUCGUGCUGGCGCAGGGCGCGCGGGGUGUGUGUGUGUUGCGGGGGGUGCAAUGAAAUAUUAAAAGACAUGACGGCCCCUGUUGAUGUUUAGACUGAGACUCCAAACCCGGCAUUGCUGGGAGAGGGUUCGGUGGUGCCUGGCAAGGGACGUCGGCUCCAAGAAGGGUUAAAUUAGGUUGAAGACCUGGCGGAGUGCGAGCCAGGGCUGUGGCCAGGUCUGCAGCUCGCCGCUCUGGGAACGAGGGCCAGAGACCUCCUGGAAUGGACCCGGCGGCACGCAUGUGCCCUUGAGAAAGUGCGCCCGAGGUCCUCAGCCGCAGACUCUCAGCUCUCAGCGACCGCCGCCGUUCCCCAAGGGUCGAACACCACGACGGCCGUCCCAGGCGCGCCUCCAGCAGCCGGAUUUGAGGUCCUGAGUCUUGCUCCGCGCAGCCAACGUUGCCCACAGGGACUCUGUCUCCCGCUCUGUGUCCGUGUUGGAGAACUUGGGGAUGAAAGUCACGAGAGUGCUGAAGUUGAUCACGGUGCCAACAGAAAUGGUGUUCAGAGAUAAAUGGGAGCAUUUUUGUGACACAGAUCAGCACCUGUGCUUCUCACCUGAGCCACUUGGAAGAGAGAGAAAAUUAGAAGUCAUCUUCGCUCCCUCCAUCUGAAAGGCGUGCAGCUCAAGGAUGCAGGGCACAGGUGCUGGAAGUCUUCCUGCGGGUUUCAUCUGCCCGGUGGUGUGAUUGGAGCAGGAGGCUGGACCCUGGUAGAGCUCGAAGCCCUGGCUCUCUCCCCUGACUUCACUCAGGUUCCGGUUUCCAGCACACACCGCUUUCUGGCCUUGUCGGCGUUCUGAUACACGAUGUGCUGUUCACCAUCUUCCUGUUGCAGAUCCUUUCUUUGCUGCCCAAAUAGCCAGCAAACGACCGUCCUGACCCUGCACAGGCAUCACUCCCCCCCACCCCCGCUUUCUGUGUGAAGAGUUCCCUAACCCUCUUUCUCCAAUGUAUCAGCAAGUUGUGCUGUGUAACAGAGUAUCCCCAAGCCAGUGGUUUCCAACAGGAACCUGUACUAUCGUUGGAUGGAUGGGCCGGCUGGCUCUGCAGGUCCGCAGAGGCUUGGCCGAUGUUGGCAUGCUCUUGAGUCUAUAUUCAGUUGCGGAAUGGCUGGAGGCUGGCUGGCGUAGGGGGUCCCCACUGGCUGACUUUCUACUGAGAGGAUGACGGUGACUGGACCGCGUGACUCUCAGCAUUGAGCAGACUAACCUAGGUGUGUUCUCCAGGUGACUGAUACGGUUCAGUGGGAGUGAGGGAACCUGCGCACGGAUCUCAAAACUCAAUAGCACGCCCUCCCUUCUGCCUCGUUCUUUUGGCCAAAGCAAGGCCAGUCCACGUGCAAGGGGAGGGGGUUUCUAGUCUACCUGUUGAGAGAAGAAGCUGCAAAGCCACAUGGCAAAGAACAUGGACGUGGGAGGAAGAGGGAAGGGCGAGGGGAGUGAGGCCAUAUUAGUGACCCACCCACCACACCCACCUUUGACAGAAUGGCUUCGUCAGUACUUGAAUGUACUUGCUUGGUGACACAUUGCAUUGCUUAUUUAUUGGAAUCCUAAUUCUGCAGACACGUCCUGGUACUUGCAUUAAUCUCAGUGGCAUCCCAGUCACCAGUGAACUUCCUUGGGCUGCUUGGCCAUCCAUCCCCUGAGUGCAGAAACAGGGCAGGCCGGCACCCAGGAGUGGGAGUACCCAGGAGGGAAGGGCCUCCGGUGGGGAGGGGGCAUGCUGCACAUGUCCCCUCCAUGUCUCCAAGGCGGCUCAAGGCCUCAGCUGCUGUAGGGCAGGUUCCAGAGCCCGAAGAAAGCCCUGUUGCCCCGUUCAUGCUUCCUGAUGCUCUUGCCCUCAGCCGGGUGUGGGCGGGCAGGUCCCAGCAGCCAAGGCCCCAGCCCUCACCCACAAUGCCAGCAAUGCAGCCCCCAGAGGAUCUGCCUGGGGCCUGCCCACACUCCCGGAUGUUGACCGGGGCACGGCUCCAGCGCCAGCUUUAAUGGAUAGUCUCAUUGCUUUUAAAAUAAUGACCACUGGGCGUGGGCUGGCAGGAGCGGUGACAUCACUUUCCUGCAAUUCGGGGUCAGUUCCUGCUGCUUUUCCCUGCAUCUUUGAGUGGCUGGAAUCAAUCUACUUGUUGGGUAUGUGUCCUGGACGGUUUCUAGCAUGUUCGACGUCCAGGCCAUGAUGUGGUCAGGAGAGCAAAUGGGUUUGAAGUCAGAGGUCCUGGGUUUGAGAUUCAGCCACUGGCUUGCUGUGUGAACCUGGGCUGCCCACUGAACUUCUCUCGGCCCGAGCUUUCUUACCUGUGUGACGACGGAGCACCUCCUGCCUUUGUGAAGGAGUGGUGAGGCUCCCUCGGCGGCGAGGCUGAGCGGGACCUUCUGGGAGAGCCGCCGCGGCGGUCUGGGAACGGAACUGGCGGAACAAGUUGGAAAUGAGCGACCUUCCCUUUCACUCGGGGCUCUGCGUGGCGCCCGGCAGGGACUGCAUAUGCUUGGAGGCAGGGGCCCCUUGCUCCUGGCACGGGGACGCGCUCCCGGCUUGCCAGUCUGUGUUGUUGGGGAUGCAUCGGCCCGGGGAGGUGCCCUUCCGGGGCACUCACGGCCCACCUGUUCUGUCUGCGUGUUUUCUGCCCGUGGACCUGGGCUGUCUGCCAUCAGGUAAAGGUUGUCCCCUUGGAAUGAGUUUGACUUCGAGUCUGUAACUAUUUUAACGGACUUUUACAUCCUAAACAUGUCGAUGGGAAGACAGGGUCAUGCGUGGGUCCCAGAGCAGGACAGCAGAGGCCAGUUUCAUGUUUCCUCUCCUCCCACCGUGAUUUUAGCUUGAAGAGCGCCUGUGGGCAGGAGUUGUUGCUUCUCAGCUAUGGCCCCUUGUUGGGCUUCUCCAUCCUUCCACGGAAGGCCAGCAUUCCGGCCCGCUCUGAGUCCCUUGUGGUCAUGGCAGGAGGACAAAGCCACGUGGCAGGACAAGGGCACACAUCUUCUCAUGCCAAGUGGCCUCUAAACACCGUGGCUCUCCCUGACGUCUCCCGGGGACCCUCAGUGACAAGGGGAGGCUGGCGCCCAGUCUCAAACUGCCCCGCCUGUCCUGUGUGCACCUGCACUUCCUCGUGGAGGGUUCCCGCCAUCACCGCGGGGCACAGAGACGGGUGUGCAAGACGGCGGGUGUGCACCAGGUUUCGCGCCCCCUGGGGUCCACCCGCAUGUGAGCAGUUCAGCAGAAUUCCUUUCCGGGGCCAGGGUGCAUCCUUCCAAGGUGUGGGCUCCUGCACGCAGCUGUUGAACGACAAGGCCGGGGCUCCGUCCUCCUGAGAGCUGUGUGGGGUAUUCGGUUCCAUUUUGACCCAGACUUUCAGGCACUGGACUCAGAAAUGCCAAACAAUGAAGGGUUGGUUUUAGGGUUUAUGAGAACCAGCACCUCCCCCCCAAAGAAGACUCUUACAGAAGCAAGCUAUUGUAACGGGAAGUCUCCUGGCGCCGGGGAGGAGCGGUGAAGGUGACGGGGGUGUGGUGAUAACGAUCUGCCCCUUGUGCCCAGCACCACGGUCAGGGUCUCGUUCACUGUGUCACCGAGCUCACUCGGCAGCUCUGAGGCUGCUUCUGGGCCAGCCGGGUUACCCAGACAGGACAAAGGAGCCCCAAAGAAGUCAAGCACGUGGCCCAAAGAUACGCAGCUAACCCGCGGGGUCGUGGCGGUGGUGAUGCCGGCACCCGGGUCUCUGCACCACCUCCGACUGGUUCUCAGUGGUGGGCAGGUGGCGUCUGUGGCCUCAAAGAGCCAAAGACAAACAAGCUGCCAAAGAAGAUGGUGCCUUUUGGGUGCCCUGUUUGUAAAGGAUUUCUGCACAGCCUGAGAGCAUGUGUGGACGGGAUUGUCACGUGGUGGAAAGUCUUCUGGGACAGGGGGCGGGAGCACUAAGUAGCCGUGUGACCCGAGACACGUGACACGUCGGAGCCUCAGUCUCCCUACCUAUGAAACAAGAAGGCUGGCCUGGAUCAUCUCUGGGCCCUUCCAGGGCUGACACCCAGGUGAGGACGCUGGCCCAUUGCUUCUGACCUCUGAGGGCAGGGGCCUACCUGGGACUAGACUUGCUGGAAGCCUACGUGUCUUCCCUAAGGGUUGACGGGGCUUCCUUCACAUUACGUGAAAAUGUUCAAAGUUCUGGGAAAGACUCUGACAUCCAAGCAAAUGAAUCUUCUCUUUGUGAUAAAACCAAUGUCUUCUGUCUGGUUGAUAAGCUGAGACCAGAGUUCUUGUCAUCAUACCUAAAGCAGGUGACAAGCAAAAGGGUCACGGGCCAUGGCGGGGAGGGGAUAGGUUUUCAAUGUGGCUUUUGUUGUUUUCGGAAAGGUUUCAAUUCAUGUCUGUGUGGGAGGUGGCCCAGGCCUGAAUUUGCAGAAGCAGGGCGAGGGGCAGGUCGCGUGGGGGCUGAGUGUCGUGGUACCCUGGACUGGCACUUUCCCGUUUGGGCACGAAAGCCAGCACCAGGACCCCGAUCUCUGUGUCGGCGCCCAGGGAGGCAGGAGAGGCAGACUGACCCCGCACCAGCCCAUAGAACACGCUCCGUCCCCUGCCGGAACCGGUUGUGGCUUGGAGACCCCGUCCACUAGGGAGGACCAGGCCUGCUUUCUUCCCCAGCCAGACCGCUAAAGGCUGGCCACAUUCUGUGAGUCGGGUCCGAGCAAAAGCAACACACAGAAGAAGAUGAUUAUGGGUGUUUUUAAACCUGCCCCUUCCUGCCCAGCCCGGGACAAUAUUUACAAAGCAGACAUGCAAACAAGCAGACCUUCUUUUCAUACACAGGCUCCCCCCAUGCUGGAGUCCCUGCCCAGCCCUGGCUUAGGCGUUUAAAGGGCCCGUUUGCCUGUGAGCUGUGGCCGCCUUUCCUCCGGUGGUUCCAGCGUGGUCAGGGAGUCUGGAGCAGGGUUGCUUUUGCUUCAGUAAGGUACAGGCCCCUUUUAGGGAAGACAUUCUCAGGGAUGUCCAGUGUUGGCUCGAAUUACCUUUACUAUUAUGUUUUUUAAAUGUGGACAGACAUCACACCAGGCAUAGAUGCCUUCAGCUUAGAGUUCUGAUGUCACUCUAAAUCUAAAACAAAUUUACAGGUGAUAUGCAAACAGAACUCCAGCACGCAUGGAAUUCCAAUGAUCGGCGUUAACUCCGUGUGCCACCUCUAAACCGCCGGCGUUGGGCUCUGAUGCGGAGAACCUUUAUCUCUGUGUCUCAGAGUUCAUUCGCCAGGGAGUUGAUUUUGUGUAUAAAGGACCUUUGUUUGAGCUAUCAGGGAUCACUUUUCCCCACUUUUUCUCACUGAAGUGGUUUUGAGCCACUAACCCUUUCUUUUAUUAAGCUUGUUGCUAUAAAAGGAGAUCGCCCAUAUCUGAUUUCUGAACAAAAAAAAAAGUCAAAUGCUGGUUAAUAGAAUAUUCUCCACUGUGUAUGUACUUAACUGCUAAUUAACAAUCGAAUGUUGGCGUGGGCUAAGAUGAGGUCUGUAAAGAUAAUUCUAGCAACCAGAAUUAUCCUGCAAAACAUUUUUUGGGGGAGAUUGGCAUGUCCAUACCCAUAUGUAUCGUGUGAUGAUUUGGUGCUUCUCCCACUUAUUCUGUUUUCUGUGAGCACUUUUUAGAGGGCACUGAGACGUUAUUGACCUUGACUUAGUCCCAGGUACUCACUCAUGUGAACGUGGGCUCUGAACUUGCGGGUAGCACUUCACUAGACGGCACUCAUCCCGGUGAUCGGGGACAUGCUUCUGUCGUAGAGCCCCCGAGACUAUGUCCACGGGGUGUCUGAAUCCCGAUUUUGAAGACUAUUCUUCUGGGGGGAAGCCCAAGGUAAAGGGUCACGGGGGGGAAAGAGGUCUCCCCACGACGAGGGAUGGCCAAGAGAACAGCAUCUUCCAGGAGCCGAGAAAGGGCGAGUGGGAGUGGAUGUACGUAUUUGACUGUUUCUUCCCUGCAUACUUACGGGACUCCGUCUUUUUCAUACAGCGAACCUGGGGGCUGGGGAACAGCAGCGGUGACAUGAGCUGCUCUUGUAGACGGCUGCCUGAGACAGUUUGCAAGGCUCUUUGGAACUGCCCGCUAAGUGCCAGGAGAGAAUUAGUGUCUGAGUGCUAGGGUCCCCUCACUCCUUGUGUUCCGUGUUAUGCCGUCGGGUCCAUUUUCACGCGACCUCAGGCAUUUCCAGGAAUCAAAUCCUAAGAGGGAUAAAAAUGUGCCACCUUUAAGAAUAGUCUCAAGAAUGUGUCUCGGGCUUUGAGGACACUCCCUGAGAAAUGACCAGAGAGAGAGGCCCCAGUCCCUUCAGGGUAAGGCCAUACCCACGUGGAGAACCAAGUCCUGGCGUGUUCGUUUGACACAGAAGAGCUUCAGUUCAGCGCGGGAAGCCUGCCCGCGGAGGGGUGGUGACCAACGCCAAGUGUUGAUCAGAAACACCAAGCGCUGGGGCUUUCGGGGACAGGGUUGGGUGGCAGGCUGGCCUUGCUGGGAACAGGUGCAGAGGUGCAGAGGCUGUGGUGAGGGAUGAGUGACACAUAGACCAGGGCCCGGGACGCCAGGCUUCAGGGGUGGAAGAGAAGCAUGUGCAGAAGUAUGGGGGUGGGGGGGAGUAUGAGCAGGGAGAGGGAGUAUGCAUCUGGAAAUGCAGCUUGCAUCCAAACGUGGGGGCCUCAGACGCCAGGACAAGAGCACGCCUGUGUCGUCAUGAGUGGGAGUGUUUGUGGACACCGAGACGUCACAGCGAGCAUAGAGCCCGUCCCGUGGCCGUGAAGCUCCUGCCCCCCCACACACACCGGUGGUCUUCAUUUAAUACUUUCUCUCAAAUUCCCGACCGUGUCCUGCUGUUGUGCUGAUGUCGUGGAGGUCUAUGGCCUCACCUCUGUGAGGGCCCGUGUGUCCCUGGGGAUUGGCGAGCCAGGACGGAGUGGCAUUAUCCAAGAUGGGCGACAAAACCCAACGAAUCCAGGCCCGUGGAAAUGUCACGAGGCAGGCAAGAGGGAAACACCGCGGUGCGGAGGAGGCAGAACGACGCAGAACACGGAUCCCGGAGACAGAAGUGACGGUCGCACCUGCUCGGAUCUCUCUAUGGCCAGAGAAAAGCGAUUCUGUGAAGUAAGAGCUAUCGGGUUGUAAUGAAGCUGGAAGACACGUGUCAGGAAACCAGCAAGAUGCUGGGAUAAUUUAAAGUCAGAGGAGGACAAGUUAGAGUGGAAUUGAUCUUGCUGGGAAUGGUCACGGAUUGGCUUGAGCGACAGCACGUGCGGCUGUCCUAGAAGGAAGAUGUGCCCCGUGCCUGGGGGGCCGGAUGGUGGAGGUGAGUGCCAGAGAAGGCAGAUGCAGGGGUGAGUCACCGAUGUCUCUGGAGGGGCUGGCCACGGCCGGCCGAGGGGCUCGAGAGGCCUCCUGCGGGGUUGGCGGGAGAACCGCUAUAGCAGAGGCUUUGAAAACAGGCACCACAUUAAAGCCAAGAGUUUCACUUCUAGGACCUUAUCUUCAAGAACUGAUCAGGGGAGAGCACAAGAACACGUUUAUAAGAAUUUUUAUAACCGAUGAAAAAUGGGAAAUUUCCCGAAUGCUCGGCAAUAGGGAGUUCACGAUAUGAACAUGUGUGGAGCCAGCCUGGGAAGGAAUGUGUCUGGUAAAUAUUCCCUGCUCAUCUUCCAUCCCCUGACUCACCUAUCUAUCCAUCAGCCUACCCAUCACCUUGACAUUGUCCUUCUUAGGGUUCAAUUAACCUGUCUGAACACGGAGUGCACACUAGACCCUACGGUGGGCACCAGGAUUCUAGGGUACGGCCUCUUCCCCGAUCUGCUCAUACUCCUGUGGGGAAGGGGCAGGGAAGUGAACAGGUCAUUACAAUUCAACACAAGAAACCGUCUGAUAGAAGAGAGUGUCAGGUGGCUUCAAAACCCAAAGGGGACAGGAACUAACCACGUCUGGGGAAAUCGGGAGAGGCAGGAUGAAUGGCCGUUUCGUUCCGGGGAGAGCCUGCUGCACGCGACCCUGCGUCACGGAGAAGGCAGGUGCUGAUGGUCUGUGCUUGUGCCCGAGGGACUGCAGGCACCCAGAGCACUGUUCUGUGGGGCUGGUUUCACUCCCUUCCAGACGCAGGCAGGUGUAGACAUGCCAGAGCCACCGUGCAGAAUGGACAGUGAUGAGUAUCUCAUCUUCUGUCACACUUUCUGUGAACCCGAUUUAGACACCAUGUCCCCAAAUACCUUUGUUGCUCCAGCAGCAUCUGAGUGGAGGCCCUGAGUGCCAGAGAGUCGAUGUCCCGGUGCCUGGAAGCUCACAGUGAGGGAGACUUUCACUUCACUCGGUGUCCUGUUCUCACACGUGCUGUGUUUGUGGCCGGCUUCGGUGAGCCGCAGUGCGGGUGCUAUCUAGCAGGGUGAAGAUUUCCUGGGUGGCCCGUAUCUGAGGGCCACUCGAAUGCUUUUCUCCGCGUGUGCGUCUGAGGCUAACUGGUCAGAGCUCCGGGUCAUCCGUGCAGACUCCUGUUGCCCGGCUGCUAGUGUUACAGGCCGGUGUGGAAGAAUAUGGGUUUUGGAGACAGAGACUUAGAUUCAAGUCCCAGCCCUGCCGUUCUUCAGGUGCCUGGCCUUGUGCGAGAUACCUGUCCUUGCUGAGCCUCACUUUUCUCCCCGUAUAAUGGACCUCAUCAAGCCUGCUCGUGGGACUGUUCCGUGGAUUACUUGAGGCAAGGCGUGUGAAGUGCAAAGGACAGAGCUUCAUAAAACACUCAGGAAGUGGGAAUUGCUUUUGUCCUCACCGUUGUUAGGGCUAGUCCCAGGGACAUUAUUUCAGGUUGUGUUGGGAGAAGUCUCGUGUGUUUCUACGGGCAAGCUUGGCUCACCAAUCAGACCAACCAGAUUUACGGUUAAACAUGGUCAUAAAGAGCGUCUGGUCAAGUCUUGUUUAAUGCAGCGGGAGAGCACAUUGUGAGGUCUAAUUUAUUAGGCAAAGAAAACAUAUGGGACGAAUCGUGCUGUUACCAAACACUUAGCUUAGGCCUGGGAAUAAUCACACGCACUUUAUCUUGAGAGGUUCACGUGGCCUGUUGUGGAAAGGGAGGGGGCAGGUGCCAACAACGGCUUGGUUCAAGGUGGAGUGAAGCUUGGGGAAGCCUGUGCCAGACUCAUGCUCGGACCCAGGAGGAUGGGCAUCAGAGAAGGCCUGGUGCUUCACGCCCCUGCCACGUUUUCCCCUUUAUGAUGCAUGAUUAAUUGUAGUUAAUUUUACUAAGACAGUUGUCUCUUGGAAAUAAAGGCAGAAUAUGAAGACUAAGAAUAAUUGUAACUAUCCCCACUUGACCUUGAGCAAGUUACUUAACCCCCCCCCGUGACCAGAAGCAGGUCACUGUUCCAGAGGGGGUUAGUAAAAUGGGAGCAAUGUAGCACCUCCUUCAGAAGGUCAUGGUGAGGGUUCAGUGCGUUACUGCAGGUGCGCUCACAGGAGUAGCUGGUGCUUAGUAGGUGUUCGAUACACAUUAGCCAUCACCAUCAUCAUCACCAUCAUCACCAUCA